rnacentral:sRNA from 1 species
AGAAGGAGAGGGGGAAGAAUAGAGUGAAAGACCUGGCAUACAUUGGCCUGACAACCUAGAACAUUUGCUUAAUCCUCUGCAAAGUUUACCAGUGCCCCAUUUUGUAAGAACAACGAGAGUAAAUAAUAGCUUAGAAGUUCAGGUCCUGGAGAAAAUCAGGUAGCACACAAAGGAAGUAUUAGCUGUCCUCGAAAUAAUGCUGCAUAAUAAACCGUUCCCAUUUUCUGUUGUAAAAAAACACCACCGUAUUUUACACAUCUGGAGGUGAGCAGGCACAGCUGGAAUGGCAACUCAGACCUUGGCUGAUUACUUGUUCUCUGUGGCUUGACUGAGUCAGUCAGGAUAGGUGGAGCUACCCCGGGGAAGACUGCUCUACACUGCAGGUCUGGGUCUGGAUCUUUAACAUCCUGUGCCCUCCUUGGGUCCGUGAGCUAGCCAAGCCAUGAUCUUCUCUUGACAGCCAUUGGGACCCAAAGAGUAGAAAUGUGUAACAGCAAUUGGCAGUAGACUCAGAAAUCAACUCACUGCCUUUUCUCCUGAAUGCCACUGAGCAAAGCAAGCUGCAAGGUACAGCCCAAAGUGAAACAUAUCCAGAGGAAGAAGGAAGAAGGCACUGCCUGCUCAUUCAAUAAUCUUGCGACUUAGAGAGGGUAGAGAAUCGGGCUCAAUAAUGCAAACUGAAACGUUCGAUCCUUCCUAAGCACCCACUGGACCAGUCAUUGGAGGAGCUAAGGAUCUCUUGGCCAAGGAGACUGGUUCUAGCCCUGUCGUGGAGCUCAGUUCUAAUGGAAUGUAGAAGAAAUUUAAUAUUCAGUAUACUCCCUUCCUGCCCAUUUUGCUUUGCUUCACUGGGGGAUGGGUGGCUAGCGCAGUGGUUCCUGGAAGACAAGGCCUUCUGCCAUGAUCAGCUUUAUGUCCUGGCAUUCAGAACUGGGCUGUGAGCGAGAUAUGUGCUCAUUAUCACGUAAGUGGAUGAGUGAGUGAGGUAUUUCUGUCUCUCUGGGAGACACGGGAUCUCUGCUGUUUCAUCUAUCCACGGAAAGGAAUGAAAUGACAGAAAUCCGGAUUUCCAGAUUAUCAGACGACACAAAGCUGGGAGGCAGAGCAAAUGACAAGUGACAGUGAGGCCGGGCUUCCGAGAAUAGGAAUCACUGGGGCGAGAGUCCACAGAUGGCACAUGCCUCUGAGGGCAUAGAAGUGGGUCAUCCACCCAGAUCGCCAUGCAGCGAUGUGAUGUGGGGAGCAGAGCCCCUGCAGGAGGCUAGCUGGGAAAGGCUGCAGAUGGACUGGUAGACACUCCAUGCUGUCAGGGCAGCACCCAGAUGCUCUACCCCAAGUCAGGACAGCAAAGCAAACUCAAGAGGGAAUGCCAUGCACAAUGAAGUCCUGACCUUCACCUCCUUCGCUAGAAGAGGACAGCACUGCACUACAAGGGAAUUUGAAUUAACUUCACUACCAACCCUUCCUAUCCACAUGGCUGGAAUUUCAACACUGGGCUUCUUUCCAUAGCCAAAAAACAAGUAGAAAAUAAUAGCCAACUGAGAGAUCAAACUCACUUCUGCAUUACUAAGAAACACUGUGACAACACCCAUCCAGCUUCCUGAGACCACAGUGGAUGCUUUCUAUAUUCAUCUGCUAGUUGGGCAUCAGUGACUUCCACUGGAUUACUUCGCUUGGAAAUCUCCAAGGCAACCAAGCAUUCACAAGUUUCCACAGAGAAUAGGUUCGUUUUCUGGCUCCUUUUUACCUUAUACUAGACACAUAAGUCAGAAGCCCCAAAGUAAUCCCCAACUCUCUAUCAGGUCCCUCGAUCUCAUCUUACACAUCUCCCAGAAAUAGAUGUUUUACUGUACCCUUUACCACUACCCCAAUUUGUUAUUUCUUUUCUA